GAUGAACGCUGGCGGCGUGCCUAACACAUGCAAGUCGAGCGAUCUCUUCGGAGAGAGCGGCGGACGGGUGAGUAACGCGUGGGUAACCUGCCCUGUACACACGGAUAACAUACCGAAAGGUAUGCUAAUACGGGAUAAUAUACAAAAGUCGCAUGGCUUUUAUAUCAAAGCUUUUGCGGUACAGGAUGGACCCGCGUCUGAUUAGCUAGUUGGUAAGGUAACGGCUUACCAAGGCGACGAUCAGUAGCCGACCUGAGAGGGUGAUCGGCCACACUGGAACUGAGACACGGUCCAGACUCCUACGGGAGGCAGCAGUGGGGAAUAUUGCACAAUGGGCGAAAGCCUGAUGCAGCAACGCCGCGUGAGCGAUGAAGGCCUUCGGGUCGUAAAGCUCUGUCCUCAAGGAAGAUAAUGACGGUACUUGAGGAGGAAGCCCCGGCUAACUACGUGCCAGCCGCCGCCGUAA
rnacentral:rRNA from 1 species